rnacentral:rRNA from 1 species
UACGGAGGAUCCAAGCGUUAUCCGGAUUUAUUGGGUUUAAAGGGUGCGUAGGUGGCUUAUUAAGUCAGGGGUGAAAGACGGUAGCUUAACUAUCGCAGUGCCUUUGAUACUGAUGAGCUUGAAUGAACUAGAGGUAGGCGGAAUGUGACAAGUAGCGGUGAAAUGCAUGGAUAUGUCACAGAACACCAAUUGCGAAGGCAGCUUACUAUGGUUAGAUUGACACUGAGGCACGAAAGCGUGGGGAUCAAACAGG